GACGCUUAAGCAGCACGAUGGAGAGGCCCCCUUGAGGAGGAAGGGAAGGCCUUGCCAGCAGCCUUCCGAACCUGACAUUUUAGAACGAGAUCCUUCAGCCUUCCCAAGCCUUCAGAGGAAACAGCCCCAGUCAAAACUUUGACCAUAACUUUACGAAAGAGCUCCUAAGCCAGAACUAACCGCCUGAGCUGCUCCAAAAACCAAGAAUCUGGAAAGUUCUCAACAGAUAAAUCUCACAGAAGGAAUUUCAAGAAUGAGAUUAAUCCAUGAACAAUGACAAAAAAGCAACCAACAAAAAACACAAGAGUGGCAGGAGAUGCAGGAAAUCAUUUCAUCUCUUCCAAGGAAUAUCUGGUUUAGAGCUGCCUUGUUCUUUAUAAUCACACUCCUCUGUGUUCCAAGAAAUGGCUGAACGCAAAGGAUGACCCUGGCCUCACAUAUUCCAAGAUAAAAUCCACCUUCACCUUCUUCCAGGACUCAGAUGAGCCCCACCACCACCCAGGUUUUCUCCCUCUAUUUGAGAUCUUCCUCGUUAAU
rnacentral:lncRNA from 1 species